GUGCCAGCAGCCGCGGUAAUACGUAGGGCGCGAGCGUUGUCCGGAAUUUUUUGGGCGUAAAGAGCUCGUAGGCGGCUGGUCGCGUCUGUCGUGAAAUCCUCUGGCUUAACUGGGGGCUUUGCGGUGGGUACGGGCCGGCUUGAGUGCGGUAGGGGAGGCUGGAACUCCUGGUGUAGCGGUGGAAUGCGCAGAUUAUCAGGAAGAACACCGGUGGCGAAGGCGGGUCUCUGGGCCGUUACUGACGCUGAGGAGCGAAAGCGUGGGGAGCGAACAGGAUUAGAUACCCUGGUAGUCC
rnacentral:rRNA from 1 species